UGGGGAAUAUUGGACAAUGGGCGCAAGCCUGAUCCAGCAAUGCCGCGUGCGUGAUGAAGGCCUUCGGGUUGUAAAGCGCUUUUCCCUGUGACGAUGAUGACGGUAACAGGGGAAUAAGCCCCGGCUAACUUCGUGCCAGCAGCCGCGGUAAUACGAAGGGGGCUAGCGUUGUUCGGAAUGACUGGGCGUAAAGGGCGCGUAGGCGGUUCUUCAAGUCAGGCAGUGAAAGCCCCGGGCUCAACCCGGGAAUUGCGCUUGAGACUGGAGAGCUUGAGUGCGGGAGAGGAUGGUGGAAUUCCCAGUGUAGAGGUGAAAUUCGUAGAUAUUGGGAAGAACACCGGUGGCGAAGGCGACCAUCUGGACCGCAACUGACGCUGAGGCGCGAAAGCGUGGGGAGCAAACAGG
rnacentral:rRNA from 1 species